rnacentral:lncRNA from 10 species
CUCACUCUCACAAUUGCACGGUCUAUUUAGCACGCUUUUAUAAAACCUUUUAACCAAUCAGCUCUGAACCCCUGAGAGCAAGGCCCACCCCACCUGUCAGGCUUGGAUUUCCAAACACAGGUAGGGCGGUCCGCUCCGAGACUGGAUGCGGGUUUCCUUCCCCAAACACAGCAGAAGCCCUGGCAGUUUUAGGACAGGCACUGAGCAGGGGGUCCUGAGGGCCGGGCGUCAGGGGCUCUGUGCCAGCCCUGUGGAUGGAGGUCCCUGAUCCGGAGGGAUUCCUAGGGGAGAAGGGAGCCAGGGUUUCUGGAAGGACGAAACAGCAGGUCGGGACUGUGGCACCACAGGGACUCGAAGGACCCACAAAGGCCCGACUAAGCCUGGGGACCCUGGAAAUCUUCCUGCAGAAGGAAAUGCCUGAAACAGACUGAAAGGGAAAAGUAGGAUUCAACAGACCAAGAGCAAAGGGAAGGGCCUUCUGGAUGGACAACAGCCCCGCGCAAAGAGGGGCACAGAUUUUCGGGCUGUUUCCAGUUAAAGGAACGUAAAGCUGCUAUGGCCAGGUCCUAUGUGGCCAUAACCUUGGAUGGUGCUUAUGGGUCCCUGGCCAUUCCUUUCACCUUGCU